rnacentral:tRNA from 1 species
ACCGAAAUAGCUCAGUUGGGAGAGCGUUAGACUAUAGAUUAAAAAGAACUUGGUUCGUUCCUGGGUUUCGGCG